UACAACAGUCAUAGCAUCCUGAACACACCUGAUCUCAUUGGAUCUUGGAAACUAAGCAGGGUUAGGCCUGGUUAGUACUAGGAUGGGAGAAAUAUAAUGGAUUUCUCAUGCAUUGAUUUUG
rnacentral:rRNA from 1 species